AAACCAACAGGGAUUGCCCUAGUAACGGCGAGUGAAGCGGCAACAGCUCAAAUUUGAAAUCUGGCUUCGGCCCGAGUUGUAAUUUGUAGAGGAAGCUUUUGGUGAGGCACCUUCUGAGUCCCCUGGAACGGGGCGCCAUAGAGGGUGAGAGCCCCGUAUAGUCGGAUGCCGAUCCAAUGUAAAGCUCCUUCGACGAGUCGAGUAGUUUGGGAAUGCUGCUCAAAAUGGGAGGUAAAUUUCUUCUAAAGCUAAAUACCGGCCAGAGACCGAUAGCGCACAAGUAGAGUGAUCGAAAGAUGAAAAGCACUUUGAAAAGAGGGUUAAAUAGCACGUGAAAUUGUUGAAAGGGAAGCGUUUGUGACCAGACUUGCGCCGUUCCGAUCAUCCGGUGUUCUCACCGGUGCACUCGGGGCGGCUCAGGCCAGCAUCGGUUUUGGCGGGGGGAUAAAGGUUCGGGGAACGUAGCUCCUUCGGGAGUGUUAUAGCCCCGGGCGUAAUGCCCUCGCCGGGACCGAGGUUCGCGCAUCUGCAAGGAUGCUGGCGUAAUGGUCAUCAACGACCCGU
rnacentral:rRNA from 1 species